rfam:Desulfosporosinus orientis DSM 765, complete genome.
GGAACCUGUACACGUUGCGGCGCAACGAUGACAAGAGA